ensembl:lncRNA
CCGGUCCACACGAGCAGCUGCUGGGGUAAUUAGCCAUCAGAUCUUAACUUUCACUACAAUACCCAUCCUUGGAACCGCUCCACAAUCUCUGCUCUAAUUGGAUGUGAACGAGCCAGCCGUAACCAAUGAGCAGAGGGCGCCCGCACGCCAGGGGCAUUCUGGGUAGGAUGCCCCGCCCGCCAGGGGCACACUGGGUAGGAUGCCAACCGACGCCACCUUUCACCUGUGUUCUCUUAUUUGUUUACGUCUGUUUUGGUCGCCAUGGAAGCCAAGACAGUAAACAAGUAAACACGGUAUUAGAACUCAGCAGUGCAGCUGGCAGGGGGUGUCUGUGUGUUUGUGUUAAUGUCUUCAGGGUUAGGUUGAGUGUGUGUGGUUGUAUGUUUGUGCGUUGAGGUCUUCAGUGUAAGGUUGUGUGUUUAUUUGUGUGUUGUUGUGUGUGUGUGUGUGUGUGUGUGUGUGUGUGUGUGUGUGUGUGUGUGUGUGUGUGUGUGUGUGUGUGUGUGUGUGUGUGUGUGUUUUUGUCCGUUGAUGUGUUCAAGUCUCCAGGGUUAGGUUGUGUGGUUGUGUGUCUGUGGUUGUGUGUUUGUCUCUAUAGGGUGAGGUUGUUUGGAUUAAUUAAGAAUAGGGUCAGCGUCAUACUCUUUCAACAAUAAAGAUUCACUUUACUGUUUUACCAACAGCACUAUAAUACUAUUUUACCACCAACUGGGCCGUGUGUGUGUGUGCGUGUGUGCGUGUGUGCGUAUGUGUGUGUGUUUAAAUCGUUAAAUCGUUUCAACCAGUAUCAGCAGCCUACUGGUCGCAGUGCUAGGAGUUGUAGCAAUAACAUGUUCAAAAUGUAGUCCAUGACACGUUGCGCUAAAGACACACGCGGGCACCCGUAGUCCGUGACGUCAUGAACCCGCAUGGCUGAUAUCGGGUGAAUGAACACAACUUUUACAAAGUUGGUAGUAAACAACAACCUUGACAGAGGAUUACUCGGUCCGACAUCACUCCACGCCCCCCGGAGAAUACACUUCAUCGGCGGUCCCUCAGAGUCCACCGUGCGGGGUCCCACUGAGGCAUGACCAUGUCCCGGUCCCGGUCUCCGGAGGUCCAGGGGUCCAGAGGGACCCUCGUCCCCCAACACCCAGAGGUCCGACCGGAGCCCCAAAUACAGGGGCUCGUCCAAUCGCGUACAUAUAGAGCCGUGCAGACCCCCAGACGAUGGACCUGCGACCGCUACUCGGUCUUGACUAGCGGGGACUCUCCCGGGGGACGAGGUCACCCAGGACAUCAUCUGGGACCCCACCUCCCCCACCCAGCCCGGCCCCAGCGGGGGUUCCAGGACCACCAGGAUGGUGAAGAUAUCCGACAUAGUGAACCGCAUCGCCCCCCAAGGUCGGUACAGCUACCGUCCACCGGGACGUCCGGCCGGCGCCGUCGCCCCUCUUGCAGUGGAUGGGCGACUGCGGGGUGUCCUGCACCCCCGAGCCCCGGACGCACCGCGCCCGCAGGCGCUCAGUCAGGCAGAGCAGUGUGGACGGCCUGGUGGAGCUGGCCCGAGCCUUCGACCGGAACAUGGAGCGCUCCGACGACCUGGCCGCCGCCCCUCGUCUCCACGACGACCUGACCGCUGCCCCACGUCCCCACGGCGACCUGGCCGCUGCCCCACGUCCCCACGGCGAUCUGGCCGCUGCCCCACGUCCCCACGGCGACCUGGCCGCUGCCCUACGUCCCCACGGCGACCUGGCUGAUGACCCCCGUCCCCACGGUUACCUGGCCGCUGCCCGGCGUCCCCACGGCGACCUGGCCGCCGCCCCUCGUCCCCACGGCGACCUGGCUGAUGACCCCCGUUCCACCAGCAACCUGGCCGCAACCCCCCCUCCGCUUCCCCCCCCCUCUGAGUCGCAGCGGGUGGAGGCGGAGCUCCGGGCGCUGUUCGACAGCUCCACCCAGAAGGUCAGUGGGGCCCUGAGCCAGGGGACCCUCAGCGAGGGGCCCCUCAGUCAGGGGUUCAGCGGGCCCCUCAGAAAGGGGGUCAGUGGGCCCCUCAGCCAGGGAGCCCUCAGCCAAGGGGCCCUCAGCGGGCCCCUGAGCCAGGGACCCCUCAGGCCCUCAGACCGGCCCCCGGGGGUGGCGGUCCGGGGCCCGGGGCCGGUGGUCCAGGAUUUUGAGGAUGACUUUGAGGACGACUGGGAGGACGAUGACCUGAUGAACGACUCGCUGGUGGUUGCCACGACCUCAGGGGCUCCCCCGGGGGUCGACUCCUCCUGCCCACCCCAGGGGAGGACUCCCGGACCCAGGGGCGGCUGUCCCGGACCCAGGACCCCCCAGCGCAGCACCUUCAGACUGGAGCCCAACCCAAGGUGUCUGGCACCCCCCGCCUCAAUCAAUCACAGGUCAGAGCGCCUGCCCCCCCGCCUCGACCAAUCACGGGUCAGAGCGCCUGGCCCCCCGCCUUGACGAAUCAAGGGUCAGAGUGCUUGGCCCCCCCCGCCUUGACGAAUCAAGGUUCAGAGUGCUUGGCCCCCCCCGCCUUGACCAAUCACAGGUCAGAGCACCUGCAGGCAGUUCAACCUGUCAAAAGGCAGCCCGUUACCACGGUGAUGGCGCUAACAAUGGUGACACCAGUAACCACGGUGAAGCCGGUAACCACGGUGAAGCCGGUAACCACGGUGAAGCCUCAGUCGAGCGCGGCGGUCCAGGGCCCCGGGGCCCCGGACGGCUGGUGGGACGAGGGCGGAGACGACCAGCUGCUGCUCCAGGUGUGUGAGGACGUAGAGAAGUUCUCCAACAGCCAGCCCUCCUCGGCCCCUCAGGCCCCUCCCUGCGGGCGGGGUCACCCCAGCACGCCCGCCCGUGGGCGGGGCCUCUCCACCACGCCAGUGGCCAUCGGGCCCGCCCCCCCGCGGGGCGCGGGCCAGCCGCUGGCGUGCGGGUACAGGCGCACUAACUCGGCCCCGGUGGCCGGCGGGAGGGCUGCGAGCGGCCAGGGGGGGGACGCCCAGACGAAGGGCGCUGGGGUCACAGCCGACCAAUCAGCUCUCUCUCAGAGCCAUCCCGGCAGCCAUGUUGGACCACGUCACCUCAGAGACGCUCCCGGGACAUUCCGCCCGCAGACGGUGACCUCCAGACCCUCAGGAAACUCCCAUCAUGCAACAUUCAAGAGGCACUUCUCAGACUCCUCCGCCAUCAGCAGCAAAGUGGUGUCGACCGGUCUGGUGAGCGUUCAGUUGAUCUCCAGGUGCUCGGCUGCUGACAUCGAGAGGAAGAAGCAGGAAGCUCUCGCCAGGAAACGCAAGCGGAUGCAGAACUCCCAGAAAAACGAGACCUCCUGAAGAGCUGCUACUGUCCACUCAACCCCCAGGAGGGUGUAUUCUCGUCCAGAUCAGUGAUCGUUGCUCUGCUGGAUUAUUCCUCCAUGCUAUCUGUUUACAUUCCAGUGACAGCGGUUUUGUUUUAUUGCAUCAAACCGUCGUUGUCCGAACUCUCCCCAUGAGGUCAACCCUCCGUUGCUGGGGGUCAAGCCACCAUGUGUUGAGUAGAAUUCCAGAUGACCAGGCUCUUAAGACUAUGACAGCAUGAAGCGCAACACACCUACGGGAUCCACAAAGUCACCAUCGUCAGGUGGCCAACAUUUCUUUAAAGUCGAUGACCAUGAGACAUCCUGCCAAAUCACUGUUGCCUUCAUAUACGUACUGCUAUGUAGCCAUGCUAGUUAGCCAUGCUAUGUAGCCAUGCUAUGUACCAACGCCGCACUUGCACUGUUUGUACUUAUCUUCGUGAUGGCUAACCCUUUUCGACCAAACCCAGAAUAAUAAAGUUAUUCCACCUUAAGCCUGACUGCUUCCUAACUGACUCACAAAAUGGCCGCCGCCACAUCAGAAAAACCGAGAGGCCGCAUCCAGACCCUCUCCAGACCCCCAGUAGCACUACCCCCGUUCCUUAUUCUUCGACAGGCGACGCCUGACUGACACUCUGACCUGAGCCCCUUAAUGAACACCUGGACUCCCAGCUGCAGGACAGCACCCAUCCAUCACCUGGCUGACAC